GUGUACCUUCCUAGCACAUAUACUAAAAUUGGAACAACACUGAGGUUAGCAUGGCCACUGCUCAAGCCUGACACACAAAUUAGUGAAGUGUUCCAUGAUUUU